UUUUUUAAAAAAAGACAUGGAUGUUAUGGAAUAAAUGAAAAUUGCCAUGAUCUGAAAAGGGAGGAUUUCUUUGCAUGUGUCCUCCUAUAUGAAAUGGCUGAACAGAAAAAA
rnacentral:snoRNA from 1 species